GCAAUUUUAAAGGCCUCUAUUUUAUUUUAAGGUCAUUAAAUAUUUUUUAACAAAGUUAUUUGCAGACAAAAAAAAAAUAAAAAAUUAAAAAAUCAAGGAACAAGGUGUUUUCUCCCCAGGAUUCUUUCAUGGUUUGAGGCUGUUGAGAUGGGAAGGCCCUAAAAGAAGCAGAACUCCUGAAUUCCCUGAAUAUUCCCAGCACUUUUAAGCAAAUCCUGCCAUUUGAAACCCAAAAUUUGCUUUAGAGAUGUCUUUAUUAACCACUAAGGAGAUGGAAUUACACACAAAAUAUGGAAUUACACACAAAACUCAGCUGAGAGCUGGAGAUGCUGAACACAGAGGUUGCAAGAGAUGUCUGGCUCCAGAAAGGUGACGACUGGAGGAAAUAGCUGCGAGCUGCUGUGACCAGAGACUUCCUGGCUGUGAGAACCUCUAAAGCCAUCAGACUGAGCUCAUCAUCAUCCCCCUGUGCUUCCAUCUGGCUAAAAAAAAAAAAGGUUUGCGCACAAAAGUUCUUUUCCACCUAUUGUUUUUUGUUUUUUUAAUUACUACACGAGGAUGCAAUCCUGAAGUAACUCUGCCUGUGUUCAUCCGUUCCUGUGUGCCUGCUUGUGACUCUUGAAUCAGGAAAGCAGGACUCCCUCCCACAGUUCCCACAGAGCUGGGAUGGAGCUGCUCUCCCACCACUGGUGGUUACACAAAUCCAAACCCACGUAGCGCAUUUUCCACGUCAUCAUUUCUAAAAACUCCCGUCACAGCUCAGCACUGAGGGCAAAAGAGACAAACAUUUGUGCUCUGAGGUGUGAGAACAGAGUAAAGGGCAAAAUCCUCAGAAUCAGCCGGGAGCACAGCAUGAAAGAAUGUGAACAGCUAAAGAAAUAUUAAUAAAUCAAAUUUUCUAUGUAAAACACACAGACCCUCUAUUACAGAAGCAAAAAAGAGAGAAAA